UACGAAGGGGGCUAGCGUUGUUCGGAAUUACUGGGCGUAAAGCGCGCGCAGGCGGUCCUUCAAGUCAGAGGUGAAAGCCCAGAGCUCAACUCUGGAACGGCCUUUGAGACUAGAGGACUUGGGUACGGGAGAGGUGAGUGGAAUUCCGAGUGUAGAGGUGAAAUUCGUAGAUAUUCGCAAGAACACCGGUGGCGAAGGCGGCCAACUGGACCAUUACUGACGCUGAGGCGCGAAAGCGUGGGGAGCAAACAGG
rnacentral:rRNA from 1 species